CUUGACCGAGCCCAGGUACAGCGGGUGUCCCUCGGGCCGGUCCUGGCCGUAGGUGGCCAGCAGCGCCUGCGCUUC
rnacentral:antisense_RNA from 1 species